GGGAAAUCCAAAGCAACAUUCAAGAUAACGAGAAACGCUAUACAAUGUUGAGGUUCAUGAAUGAGAGCAUUGCCCCAAACAAUUACGGUGCUUUAUUGUAGUAGUUUUUAAACCUAAAUUACUCCACUGAAUAACUAUCAUUACUAUUUUUUUAAACCGUUUAAUAUUCUGGCAAUUUACGUAACAUUUACUAACUGAGCUGAAGAGCUGAAGUCUUGAACGCGACUCGUCAGUCAUUGGAUGUUUACAUUACGAUGGUGACCGUAGUGGAGCUGCUGAGUCUCCUGCUGGUGUCCGUGCUGUGGGGCUGCACCAACCCCUUCCUGAAGAGAGGCACUGAGGGGAUUGAACAUGUCCAACACAACAACAGAGUCUCACAGCUGCUGGCUGAGGUCAAGUUUCUUUUCCUAAACCUCAAGUACCUGGUCCCCUUUCUCCUGAACCAGAGUGGCUCUUUGGUGUACUAUUACACACUCUCCACCACAGAGAUUUCGCUGGCUGUUCCUGUGGCCAACUCUCUUACCUUCCUCUGCACUCUGCUCACCGGCAAGUUUCUGGGUGAAGAGUUUGGAGGCAAACAGGCUGUCGCGGGAAUGUUCCUCACCACAGCUGGCAUCACGCUGUGUGUUAUAAGCUCCAUUAAUGACACAGACACUGUGAAGCAGAAUAUGACCCAGGAACUCUAACAGGGAUGAGGAUGAAAUACAAACUCCCAUACCUUCAAGUGAUUCCUUUGCAGGGAAGGAAAGGCCAAAGCAGAUUUGGGGCGGGACUAGAGGGGGCAAUUAAGAUUCUGACAGCGACUCCUUAGAGCAACGGCUCUGGUGGGAGAAUGGUGCCUAGAUGAACUCAGUGUGAGCUUAAAAAAACCUGUCCAGAAGCUUUUACGCCAAGUUUAAGGGGAAUUGGGUGCAUGUGGGGUUCAACUCAAGGCUAGACUAGAUUUAUGGGGCUUGCAUACAAGUUGGUGGUUGUUAACUUUUACGUUUACUGUAAGUACUCUGCUGCCCCGCCAUGUGACUGGCAUCUGCAUACAUGCUAAAGAGACCAAACAGAAACAAGGCUGGGUUUUGAAAAUGAACCAAUUAGAUCUAACCUUCUCGUUUAACGGGGACAUUUUCCUUCUGUUUGGGAAAGAGCAGGACACAGGAGAGAACAAAUUGCUGUUUUGCCCGAGGAUAAAACGGUUAUUCAUUUACUUAUUUUCUGGCUGUCUUGACUCUUGUUUACAUAAUGUAUUACUGAGUUAGAUAAAAUAAUGGUUUUGUUGUUUUAUAGCAAGUUACCUUGUUGUAUGCUGUGCGAACAUGUCUGAAGUAUUUCAGAAACAACAGUGAUGUACAUAGUAAUAUAUUUUGUUUUUAUUGUCACAGUAUUUUAUUGACAAAACAUUCUGUACAGACGAUGGAAUGUGGCUGGUAUUCUAUUAAUAAAUUGUUGGCAAAACAUAA